CUCGGGGGGCGGGGGAACGGAAACCGACGUCUCCCCUUCGACCUCCCGGGAAACCCUUCUCCGUUUACUCUCCAUUCCGCGACCGCCAAUAAAGAACAGCAUACAUGUUGACCAGAUGGAGAGGGAGAAGUCUGUUCCCGCUGACUGACAGCAGAUCCGGCCAGUCCGCACUCGGCGAGACGGCUGGCCGGCCGCCCGGGCCCUCGAUCGCAGCCAGUCACAGAUGCCGAUGGGAACGAGCCUCCCCGCGGCUGCUAUUUGACUUCGCAGGCUUCCAGCUGCGCGGCGGAGCGACGUCACCCUGUGCCAGUGGUGGCUCGCGGCGGCGCCCCGCCCUCCCGAGGUUAGCUCCCCAGCCAAAGAGGGGGCGCGCUUGCGCGGUGGGUGGGGCCGCGAGACUUGGUACCUAGCCAGCGGGCGGAGCGCGGAGGGGGUUUCGCUUCGGGCUAAGGGACUGUAGUUGUGACAGCCAGGAAACCGAGAACGGAAUGCCAAUACUGCUUAGGCUUAGAGUUUGAAAGGCAUCUGAUUUCACUGCCAUGUCUUUGAACAGCAGUGCACAGUGCAGUCUUCUUCGUGGCUGAACAGCCACUCGAUGUCUUUUGAUUGGAGAGUUUAAUCAAACAGAAGGAGUCUUCCAUUGUGGCCACCACAGCUGGGAAUGAGCUAAGGUCUUGCUAUGUUGCCUAGACUGGUUUUGAACUCCUGGGCUGAAGCAAUCCUCCCACUUCGGCCUCUCAAAGUGCUGGGAUAUCAGACAUGAGCCACCUGCCAUGCUUGGCCUAUAAUCAUGAAAAGAUCAACCCCAAGAAAGAAAAGGAAACAUGGAAGGACCUGGACUGGAGUCACGCCAGUACAAGGAGGAUACUGGCAAAGAUGAGGCUAGUCAAGUGGAGCAGUGGGAGUGAAGAUGGAAUAAAGAAAUCCAUAACUGGUUGUGAUUAAGUAGUUGUAAACACCAACUGCACUCAGACCAACCCAUAUAUAUAUUUUUAAUUGUAAGCAUAGUAUAUAUAAAACUUCAAUUCCUGCUUUUUUUUACCUAACAUUAUAUCAUAUGCAUUUUCCAUACUGUUUCACAAUUCCUUGUAUUCGUAAUUGUUUAAUCCUGCAAAAUAAUGCUUCGAAUGAACAUAUGAUCAUUUCCUUAAGUAUUCCCCUACUAUUAGAAGUGAAGUUUCUUCCAGCAUUUUUCUCUUUGCUGUGAUGAAUAUUUUUAAGUAUAGAGAUUUUUCAGUUUGGUUAUGAGUUUUUGAAAAUCUACUUUACCAAAAACAAAGAAAACCCAUGUCUUUCUUUAGUACCUUUGCCAAGAUAUUACUUUUACUUGACAUUCAACAAGUAUAGGAUGAAAGUACACAAGUCUGCAAGGGACCUUGGAAGUAACUUGUUUCUGUCUAAUUUCUAUAAAAUUUCCAGGAGAUAGUCAUACAGCUUUAAUUUGAUCGCAUCCACUAGUUUUGGCAUUGGUAUUGCCAUAUUGAUUAUGGACACAUAAAACUGUAACUCCUGGAGCCAACCUCUCAGGCUUUCCUACAUGAAACCAAUGCCACCAUCCCACCCGCACUCUAGCACCUUCUAUCCACUGAUUUUAGUCAUUGACUUGCUCUCUUCCUCUUUCUGUUUGUUGUCUUCCAGUUUGUCUCUUUCAUUCCUCCCCUCCCUUCUCUAUCCUGCUCUCUGACCCAAGAGGCUGACCUGUAUGAACCACAUCAGUGAUUGGCUGGUGGGGCCCCCCAGCAAAGAGGAUGGAGUGAAGUGAGGGUAUUUACUUGCUUAAUUGCCUCCAGGCUGGGUCACUCACAGCUGGCCAUGUCCUUCCAUCAAAGAUCAGAGCUCUCCUCAAGGUAGCCCUCUCCACAAACUUUCUUGAGUUUCUCUUUCUGGGUUUUGUUAACCAUUUUCUCAACUUGUCCCUUCAUGCCUAGAGGUAAUAGCAGGUGGGGAAUGCUGUGCUAUUCCAUUUGGUUUUCCUGCACCCUUCCCAUGUUUGUAUGUAGUCCCUUUCAUCAAAGUACUGGGACUGUCCUAAUUCGAAUGUGCCAUCUUUUUUGUUUCCUGCUAAGAACUGUUCAACUCACUCUGGAUACACUCAAUAAAUAUAACUCAGACUGUCACAAUAUUGAAGUUGUCACUAUGUGCUUUGUUGAUAUCACUGGUCCAGAAAAUAAUGACAUGGCUCACUCUGCUCACCUCUUUAGUUUCCAUUUCAGCAUUGCUCACUCCCUUCACAAUUCCCCGUCAGAAUGGGAAAAAACUUCACUAAUAAACUUAGAGAUAGAGAGUAGAGUUCAUCCUCAAUGGCUUAUGGACCAAAAGAGGUUUUUUGUGUGUUCGUUUUUGUUUUUCUUUUUUUCUUUAAAGUUCAGAUUUUUCUUUGUAAAAACUCUCGUGUUAGAUAAGUGCCCA
rnacentral:lncRNA from 1 species